GACGAACGCUGGCGGCGUGCCUAACACAUGCAAGUCGAGCGAGGAGAGUUCCUUUGGGAACAAACCUAGCGGCGGACGGGUGAGUAACACGUGGGCAACCUGCCUUGUAGAGGGGAAUAGCCUACCGAAAGGAAGAUUAAUACCGCAUAAUAUCACAGUUUCGCAUGAAACAGUAAUUAAAGGAGCAAUCCGCUACAAGAUGGGCCCGCGGCGCAUUAGCUAGUUGGUGAGGUAACGGCUCACCAAGGCGACGAUGCGUAGCCGACCUGAGAGGGUGAUCGGCCACAUUGGGACUGAGACACGGCCCAGACUCCUACGGGAGGCAGCAGUGGGGAAUAUUGCACAAUGGGGGAAACCCUGAUGCAGCAACGCCGCGUGAGUGAUGAAGGUCUUCGGAUCGUAAAGCUCUGUCUUCGGGGACGAUAAUGACGGUACCCGAGGAGGAAGCCACGGCUAACUACGUG
rnacentral:rRNA from 1 species